UUUUGUAUACAAAAGAAAAUAUUGAUAUUUUAGUUAUUAAUCUUGGAUUUUGAGACUAUUUUAUACGUUUAUACUUGUUUAUUGUAUUCAUUUUUAAACAGCCAUAUUAUUUCCAGCAAAAGUUAUGGAACGUUUACAGAUAGUAAUAUUUAUAAUAAAACAAAUUACUUUCUGUUUGCUUCCUAUAUUUUAUAAAUUUUUAAAGCUUCCUCCCAGACUCAUUUGAGUAUAAGGUGGUUAAUUUUUCCGAAAUAAAUGGAAAGGAUGGCGCAUUUAAUGCAGUGAUUUGAGCUAAUAUAUAACAACACAAGGAGAUGCUCAAAAUUGUCAAAAAAAAUAUGAAAAUGUUAAUCAAGUAAAUUUUAGAGUUCUAAGAACUUAUCCAAAUGAUUAUAUGAAGCUUGUUUUCAAGAAAGACUAUCGAUGCCAUCACAAUACUCAGGCUAAUUUGCCUUCAUCAAAGACAAAAAAUCCGUCAUCUGAACAUGUUAACUGUCAGGCAUUUUUAUUAAGAAUUACAGUGAAACAAUCAAGUAUGAAAAGGUAAAGUCUAUUUGUUAUCUGAGACACAACUACUGUCUAGUGACGUUGGUAAUAUUUUUUGAGAAGUUAGGCUGCUAGACGCUAGACGUAACUGGAAAAGACUACACAACCAAAGAUAACUACUCGUAGCCAAUAUUAUUAUUAACAGUAAACAGGCAUAAAUAACAUAACCAAUCAAUAAUUAUUUAUUUACACCUAUAUAAUGUAUUGAUAACAGAUGAGAAAAGUAUUUAUUGUACAAAAUAAAAAUAUUUUAUAGAAAUAAA
rnacentral:lncRNA from 1 species